rnacentral:rRNA from 1 species
GACGAACGCUGGCGGCAGGCCUAACACAUGCAAGUCGAACGCCCUAGCAAUAGGGAGUGGCAGACGGGUGAGUAACACGUGGGAACCUUCCCUAUAGUACGGAAUAGCCCAGGGAAACUUGGAGUAAUACCGUAUACGCCCGAGAGGGGAAAGAUUUAUCGCUAUUGGAUGGGCCCGCGUCGGAUUAGCUAGUUGGUGAGGUAAUGGCUCACCAAGGCAACGAUCCGUAGCUGGUUUGAGAGAAUGACCAGCCACACCGGGACUGAGACACGGCCCAGACUCCUACGGGAGGCAGCGGUGGGGAAUCUUGGACAAUGGGCGCAAGCCUGAUCCAGCCAUGCCGCGUGAGUGAUGAAGGCCUUAGGGUUGUAAAGCUCUUUUGGCGGGGACGAUAAUGACGGUACCCGCAGAAUAAGUCCCGGCUAACUUCGUGCCAGCCGCCGCAGUAA